rnacentral:rRNA from 1 species
CACGUAGGGUGCGAGCGUUGUCCGGAAUUAUUGGGCGUAAAGAGCUCGUAGGCGGUGUGUCGCGUCGGCCGUGAAAACCUGCAGCUUAACUGUGGGCUUGCGGUCGAUACGGGCAUCACUGGAGUUCGGCAGGGGAGACUGGAAUUCCUGGUGUAGCGGUGAAAUGCGCAGAUAUCAGGAGGGAACACCGGUGGCGAAGGCGGGUCUCUGGGCACUUACUGA